rnacentral:rRNA from 1 species
UACGUAGGGGGCAAGCGUUGUCCGGAAUCAUUGGGCGUAAAGAGCGUGUAGGCGGCUCGAUAAGUCUGCUGUGAAAGUCCAGGGCUCAACCCUGGAAGGCCGGUGGAAACUGUCGGGCUAGAGUCCGGAAGAGGCGAGUGGAAUUCCUGGUGUAGCGGUGAAAUGCGCAGAUAUCAGGAGGAACACCGGUGGCGAAGGCGGGUCUCUGGGCCGAUACUGACGCUGAGGAGCGAAAGCGUGGGGAGCAAACAGG